CCGAUGUGUAGUCAUCGUAGUCGGUGUGUCCAACUAUUUGAAAAAAUACUGUUGAUUUUUUUUUUUUUCUUAAAGUCAUUACUAGUAGUUUUAAAAUUAAAUUUUUUUUUUUUCAACUGGCGUUUUCGCAAGUUGAAAUCAUAAAUUUUUUUAAAUAAUUUUUUCGUCUAAAUAAUAAAAUACAAAAAUCAACAGUAUUUUUUUUUAAUUAAAAAGUGAUAUUUUUUAAAUAGAUUUCCAAUGGAUUUCAACGAUGAAAAAUUCUUUCUGACGCCUUGACUGGAAGGAAGGACGAGACUGAAGAACACUGACCUACCUCAAGGAGCUGCUAGUUGUCAACCUACCAGUUGAUCAUCUGGCAUCGUUCGGCAGGGAAAUAAAGUUAUUUCCCUGUUGAGGUUUAGGUAUAUGAUUUGGAUGAUUUUUUUCCUAUAUCUUUGAUGACGUGUCUAAUCUAGAGUCUAAUGGAAUCUAAUGACAUGACUGGCCUAUAAGGACCAGAAUAAUUUUUUGGACAGUGAUGUUGCUAAACAUUGAGGACAAGGUGUUGCCGAGCCAAGGACACACCGCUGCUUUAAUUUUUUUUUCUGUUUCAGAUCCAGUCAACGAGAAUGAGGAUAUCCAUGGGUGCCAAGGAAUACCGAGACCAGGAGAAGGAGGACCAGGACCAAGAAGAAGACCAAUUAUUUAUUUAAUUAAUUUAAUUAUUUAUUUUUAUUAUUUAUUAUUAAUUUGUAUUUUUUAUAUUUAUUUAGUUAAGUUUAGUGUAAUUGUAAAUAGUUUUAAAUAAUUAUUUUGUUCAGGUAUGAGUGCGAUGGAUGCUAUAAGAGUGAUUUAUAAUUUAAGAAUUUAAUUUAUAUUUUUAUUUUAUAAGAAUGAGUAUGAGUGGCAUGUUUUUAUUGCUUAGCAUGUGCUUGCUUGUUUUUUUUUUAUUUUAUUCGGGUCUGAUCGCAUGGUUUGGUUUAUUUAUAUUUAAUUUAAUUUUAUCCUUUUUUCCCACCUCCCUUUAAUUUUAAGUGUGUUUUUUCGUAUUUGGGUUUGACUGCAUGGUUUGAUUUGCUUUUAUUUUAUUUAAUUUUACCUCUUUUUAUUCCCAUUCCCUUUUACUUUUAAGUCUGUAUGAAUAUAAUUUACUAUAAAUUUAAGUGUAUGAUGAAUGAAUGUGAUUUUAUUUAUUGAGAUAUCCGU